GCUGAGGAUAUAUCUCAGUUGGUUGAGUGCUUACCUAGCAUGCACAAGGCCCUGGGUUCAAUCCCCAGCACAGCG
rnacentral:tRNA from 1 species